rnacentral:rRNA from 1 species
ACUCGAGUGGCGAACGGGUGAGUAACACGUGGGUGAUCUGCCCUGCACUUCGGGAUAAGCUUGGGAAACUGGGUCUAAUACCGGAUAGGAGCCAUCUUUAGUGUGGUGGUUGGAAAGUUUUUCGGUGUAGGAUGAGCUCGCGGCCUAUCAGCUUGUUGGUGGGGUAAUGGCCUACCAAGGCGGCGACGGGUAGCCGGCCUGAGAGGGUGAUCGGCCACAUUGGGACUGAGAUACGGCCCAG